rnacentral:rRNA from 1 species
UACUCCUACGGGAGGCAGCAGUAGGGAAUCUUCCACAAUGGACGAAAGUCUGAUGGAGCAACGCCGCGUGAGUGAAGAAGGUUUUCGGAUCGUAAAACUCUGUUGUUGGAGAAGAACGUAUUUGAUAGUAACUGAUCAGGUAGUGACGGUAUCCAACCAGAAAGCCACGGCUAACUACGUGCCAGCAGCCGCGGUAAAU